GACGUCAAAUCAUCAUGCCCCUUAUGUCCUGGGCUACACACGUGCUACAAUGGCCGGUACAAUGGGUCGCCAACCCGCGAGGGGGAGCUAAUCCCACAAAACCGGUCUCAGUUCGGAUCGCAGGCUGCAACUCGCCUGCGUGAAGCCGGAAUCGCUAGUAAUCGCGGAUCAGCAUGCCGCGGUGAAUACGUUCCCGGGCCUUGUACACACCGCCCGUCACACCACGAGAGUUUGCAACACCCGAAGUCGGUGAGGUAACCUUUACGGAACCAGCCGCCGAAGGUGGGGCAGAUGAUUGGGGUGAAGUCGUAACAAGGUAUCCCUACCGGAAGGUGGGGAUGGAUCACCUCCUUUCUAAGGAG
rnacentral:rRNA from 1 species